CGCGGCCUAUCAGCUUGUUGGUGGGGUGAUGGCCUACCAAGGCGACGACGGGUAGCCGGCCUGAGAGGGUGUCCGGCCACACUGGGACUGAGAUACGGCCCAGACUCCUACGGGAGGCAGCAGUGGGGAAUAUUGCACAAUGGGCGCAAGCCUGAUGCAGCGACGCCGCGUGGGGGAUGACGGCCUUCGGGUUGUAAACCUCUUUCACCAUCGGCGAAGCCAGAUGCUUUUGUGUCUGGUGACGGUAGGUGGAGAAGAAGCACCGGCCAACUACGUGCCAGCAGCCGCGGUAAUACGUAGGGUGCGAGCGUUGUCCGGAAUUACUGGGCGUAAAGAGCUCGUAGGUGGUUUGUCGCGUUGUCCGUGAAAUUCCCUGGCUUAACUGGGGGCGUGCGGGCGAUACAGGCAGACUGGAGUACUGCAGGGGAGACUGGAAUUCCUGGUGUAGCGGUGGAAUGCGCAGAUAUCAGGAGGAACACCGGUGGCGAAGGCGGGUCUCUGGGCAGUAACUGACGCUGAGGAGCGAAAGCGUGGGGAGCGAACAGGAUUAGAUACCCUGGUAGUCCACGCCGUAAACGGUGGGUACUAGGUGUGGGUUUCCUUCCUUGGGAUCCGUGCCGUAGCUAACGCAUUAAGUACCCCGCCUGGGGAGUACGG
rnacentral:rRNA from 1 species